rnacentral:rRNA from 1 species
AACGAACGCUGGCGGCAGGCCUAACACAUGCAAGUCGAGCGCACCUUCGGGUGAGCGGCGGACGGGUUAGUAACGUGUGGGAACGUGCCCUUCUCUACGGAAUAGCCAUUGGAAACGAUGAGUAAUACCGUAUACGCCCUUCGGGGGAAAGAUUUAUCGGAGAAGGAUCGGCCCGCGUUAGAUUAGAUAGUUGGUGGGGUAACGGCCUACCAAGUCUACGAUCUAUAGCUGGUUUUAGAGGAUGAUCAGCAACACUGGGGCUGAGACACGGCCCAGACUCCUACGGGAGGCAGCAGUGGGGAAUCUUGGACAAUGGGGGCAACCCUGAUCCAGCCAUGCCGCGUGGACGAUGAAGGCCUUAGGGUUGUAAAGUCCUUUCGCUAGGGAAGAUAAUGACGGUACCUAGUAAAGAAGUCCCGGCUAACUCCGUGCCAGCCCGCCGCGGUAA